rnacentral:rRNA from 1 species
CCAAGUCUACGAUCUAUAGCUGGUUUUAGAGGAUGAUCAGCAACACUGGGACUGAGACACGGCCCAGACUCCUACGGGAGGCAGCAGUGGGGAAUCUUAGACAAUGGGCGCAAGCCUGAUCUAGCCAUGCCGCGUGUGUGAUGAAGGUCUUAGGAUCGUAAAGCACUUUCGCCAGGGAUGAUAAUGACAGUACCUGGUAAAGAAACCCCGGCUAACUCCGUGCCAGCAGCCGCGGUAAUACGGAGGGGGUUAGCGUUGUUCGGAAUUACUGGGCGUAAAGCGUACGUAGGCGGAUCAGAAAGUAGGGGGUGAAAUCCCAGGGCUCAACCCUGGAACUGCCUCCUAAACUCCUGGUCUUGAGUUCGAGAGAGGUGAGUGGAAUUCCAAGUGUAGAGGUGAAAUUCGUAGAUAUUUGGAGGAACACCAGUGGCGAAGGCGGCUCACUGGCUCGAUACUGACGCUGAGGUACGAAAGUGUGGGGAGCAAACAGGAUUAGAUACCCUGGUAGUCCACACCGUAAACGAUGAAUGCCAGUCGUCGGGCAGUAUACUGUUCG